AGUGAAUGCUGGCGGUAGGCCUAACACAUGCAAGUCGAACGGCAGCACAGUAAGAGCUUGCUCUUACGGGUGGCGAGUGGCGGACGGGUGAGGAAUACAUCGGAAUCUACUUUUUCGUGGGGGAUAACGUAGGGAAACUUACGCUAAUACCGCAUACGACCUACGGGUGAAAGCAGGGGAUCUUCGGACCUUGCGCGAUUGAAUGAGCCGAUGUCGGAUUAGCUAGUUGGCGGGGUAAAGGCCCACCAAGGCGACGAUCCGUAGCUGGUCUGAGAGGAUGAUCAGCCACACUGGAACUGAGACACGGUCCAGACUCCUACGGGAGGCAGCAGUGGGGAAUAUUGGACAAUGGGCGCAAGCCUGAUCCAGCCAUACCGCGUGGGUGAAGAAGGCCUUCGGGUUGUAAAGCCCUUUUGUUGGGAAAGAAAAGCAGCAGGUUAAUACCCCGCUAUUCUGACGGUACCCAAAGAAUAAGCACCGGCUAACUUCGUG
rnacentral:rRNA from 1 species